GCUCUCCUCCGCGCCGGGCGGGCGGUACGGCGGCUCUCCCCAUCCCGCAGUGGCGCGCAGGAUCCGCCAGGGAUCAGGCCAUCACCGGGGAUGAAUCUGAGCCCGCCGGGGCGCUGCUCCGGCCACGGGAGGCUCGGCAGCAGACAGGGCCCGCCGCUGGAUUUAUGGAGCACGUCUCUUGUCCCAAGGGCUCCCCUCCUUAACCCCUCACCCGCGGGCGGCUCAGCCCCGCCAUCCCCGCGGAGUCGGGACGCCAAUUGACACCUCGAGGCGAGGUAUUUCGGGUUUUAUUCUAGUUUGCGCAAAGCAGACAGCUGGCUGGUACCACACAAAAGUCUAGCCCAGUGAUCAUCAAAACUUUACACUUGCUAUAUACCUUUUAACAAACAAAGGCACCGGCCUUCCUCGGUUACCAACUAUGUAAGUUUUCUAUUAAUUAGUAUUCAAACAACUAUUUGGUAGUAACAUCUCGCUUCUCGUGCUAAUUAGUCCACAGGCGCAGUUCUUUUUUUCCAGUUGAGUUUGGAGUCCCUUCUGGGUAGGUGGCCAGUGAGUUGCGAUCUCACACUGCCGAAAUUACGUUUCUCCCAGUUACUGCUCCAUUCUCCUGACUUCAGUCCUGAUGGCUCUCGUCCAGACAGCCCAUUCACCUUGGGAUUUUCUUUCCUUUUCCUAAAAAGAAAAAUAUAUUACCCGAGGGUGCGACGUGCACAAUUCUGCCGCACCUGGGCGCGCACCUGGCUGGCAGGGACGGGGCGCUGGCACGCCGUGCACACUGCGCAUGCGCGCGCCCACCGGCCGUGCCGUGUGCAGCGGGCAGCGGCGCGGGGCCAGCGCGUGCGCGGUUGCCGGGGCGACUGGAACACAACAUGGCGGCCUGAGGGGAGCGCCGGGAGUGGGGCCGGGUCGGGCCCGGCCGCUGAUCCGCCAGCCCCGGCACCGGCGGGACGGCGCGGGAGGCACAGUAAGAGGGGAUGAAAGCCCUGGCUCCCUUUCACUGGUAUGUGAAUUUAUGGCCAUGACUAUUUAUGAGCUGAUAAAAGUACAGAAUGGGAUAUUUCAGAGCGAUGGGCAACAAGAAAACAUAAUAAUAAAGCAGAACAGCCUGAAGUUAAGAGAAUUUGGAUCUUGUAGGAGUAUCUGUUCUCAGCAGGCACACAGUACCUCCCCUCGCUGGUACUGAGCACCUCAGUGUUUGCUUACAAAAGGGCUCUGUAGCUACAGAAUUGGCAUGUGGAGUCCUGGCUGUGUUUUCUAUGAAAUCACAAGCUACUGUGUUCAGUGGAGGGUUUUGCUUAUCGUUAAUCAAGAUAAUCAAAGGUAAAUAACUCAAAUUAGGAGCAUGUGGUUUGGAUAAUGUGAUCUUCGUUUCCAUGGAUUUGUAGAAGAAGCUUCUGUGCUUAGUGUCCUUCUCUUAACUUCAGUAAUCCCAUCUGGUCUGGCACUCCCUUCACCCUGUGGCAGGUUAGUAAUAAAGCAGUUCAGGAGAACA
rnacentral:lncRNA from 1 species